GCUGACGAGUGGCGGACGGGUGAGUAAUGUCUGGGAAACUGCCUGAUGGAGGGGGAUAACUACUGGAAACGGUAGCUAAUACCGCAUAACGUCGCAAGACCAAAGAGGGGGACCUUCGGGCCUCUUGCCAUCGGAUGUGCCCAGAUGGGAUUAGCUAGUAGGUGGGGUAACGGCUCACCUAGGCGACGAUCCCUAGCUGGUCUGAGAGGAUGACCAG
rnacentral:rRNA from 1 species